rnacentral:rRNA from 1 species
UACGAGGGGGGCAAGCGUUGUUCGGAAUUAUUGGGCGUAAAGGGUGCGUAGGCGGUCUGAUAAGUCAUCUGUGAAAUCUAUGGGCUCAACCCAUAGUCUGCAGGCGAAACUGCAGGGCUUGAGUAUGGGAGAGGUGAGUGGAAUUCCUGGUGUAGCGGUGAAAUGCGUAGAUAUCAGGAGGAACACCAAUGGCGAAGGCAGCUCGCUGGGACGGUACUGACGCUGAGACGCGAAGGCGUGGGGAGCAAACAGG